CCAACGUCCUUGCUUGCAAACCGCCUCGUGUCUACCCUCCUUCGGGAAACAGCCUCUUCGCUGGCACAUAGUCCAAUGUUUGGCUCUAAUACCAUUUGUAACAGCUCAAGCCCACUGCCAGUAAAUAUUGUCCUCUUUGGGCUUUCCCCUUCAAGCUUCCACUCAAGGCAUUUAAAACACAUCUACUAGGGAAAGAUUUCCACACCCUUAUAAAGGUUGUUUCGUUCUCCUCUCCAACUA